rnacentral:rRNA from 1 species
GAUCCUGGCUCAGACUCAAGUCGUAACAAGGUAACCGUAGAGUUUGAUCCUGGCUCAGACUCAAAGCGUAACCUGGCCAUCGUACUGGUAUAACUCCGGGAAACCGGGGCUAAUACCGGAUAACAUUUUGAACCGCAUGGUUCGAAAUUGAAAGGCGGCUUCGGCUGUCACUUAUGGAUGGACCCGCGUCGCAUUAGCUAGUUGGUGAGGUAACGGCUCACCAAGGCGACGAUGCGUAACCGACCUGAGAGGGUGAUCGGCCACACUGGGACUGAGACACGGCCCAGACUCCUACGGGAGGCAGCAGUAGGGAAUCUUCCGCAAUGGACGAAAGUCUGACGGAGCAACGCCGCGUGAGUGAUGAAGGCUUUCGGGUCGUAAAACUCUGUUGUUAGGGAAGAACAAGUGCUAGUUGAAUAAGCUGGCACCUUGACGGUACCUAACCAGAAAGCCACGGCUAACUACGUGCCAGCAGCCGCGGUAAUACGUAUGUGGCAAGCGGUAUCCGGAAUUAUUGGGCGUAAAGCGCGCGCAGGUGGUUUCUUAAGUCUGAUGUGAAAGCCCACGGCUCAACCGUGGAGGGGCAUUGGAAACUGGGAGACUUGAGUGCAGAAUAGGAAAGUGGAAUUCCAUGUGUAGCGGUGAAAUGCGUAGAGAUAUGGAGGAACACCAGUGGCGAACUGCGACUUUCUGGUCUGUAACUGACACUGAGGCGCGAAAGCGUGUGGAGCACACAGGGAUUACAUACCCUGAUAGUUCCAUCGCACGUAAAACGAUGAGAUGCUAAGAUGAU